rnacentral:lncRNA from 10 species
ACAAAAGCUCGCCGAGUCUUCCUGUCCACCCAAUCGCCCCACAUGUCAGCGGUUGGUCGCCUCGCGGUGCAGUGCUGGGCACGCGAGCCCCUCCCGCAGUCAUUCUCAGCACAAGCACCAGCCUGGAGCCCCGCAGCGACAGAGCUGAGAGCCCCCAAGCCGCAGAGGUCGUGCGGAGCAGGUUGCAAAUGUCUUAGAAACACACUCCUGGACCACAGCUUCAAGAGACGCAAGCAGUCACCUCAUCUGCUGGUUUCCAAGCUGCCCUGCCAGAAGCAGGUCAGGGGUCCCACAGGGGUCCUCAGUAACUCCUCAAAAUCCUCUCCCAUCAAUGGCCCCACCAGAUCAUCCCUACUUUUGAAUGCUUGUCCAAUGCAGGUUCCAGGCCUAAGGCAAUAGCUAAUUGAGACUAUGCAUCACUAUUAAGGCAUCUUCACUAAAGGGCGCUGUGGAAACGCUGCCUGAGAUGCAGACACCUGUCAGAAGGGGGCUAAAUUUCAAACAAGGAACGUGGUGUUGCAUCACAAUAAAGUAGAUUCUAGUAUUACCUUCCUUUUUCAGAAGAGGAGACCAAUGGGGAGCAUUGGAAUGAUUUGGUUGCAAGCAUACUACACUACUUGUAAACUGCAGACACAGGCUUAAAAAAAGUGAAAAACUAACCAUGCAAUAAAGAAUGGAAUGAACCAUGAAGCUGUUUCUGUGGCCAGUCAUGUUUUUGAAGCAUAUCCCAUGCUAAUUUCUAGAACAGAAGAAACACACGUGUUCUUGUGUGUAAACCCAGUCCAUGGAAGAGACCGUCUGCUUGUCCCUCCUGAUCUCUGGGCCCAGACAACCAGUAGUCACCAUUCCAAGUGAGGGGUGGCUGCAACUCUACAGCCCCGUUCGUCUCUCCUCACUGUCAAAGCUGCUGAGACCCCAGACUCGACACUUGAAAGAAACCCAUGUCUGUGAAGCACUUGUGGACCAUUCAAGAUUGUGGAAGAAUCACUCAAGAGAAGGAGAUAGGUGAUGGGAUCUAGCUUCUGAUGGUUUCUAUUUUAUUGAAUGUCUAAUAGGGCAAGAAUUUGAAAAACGAGAAUGUUUGCCAUGCAGGAGGACCUGGGAAGGAGAUAACACAUUUACAGGGAGAAAGAUUGGGAUUCAGUUGGGAGGAGUAACUGAGGAAAGGGGUCACUCAAAAUAUUUUGUAUUUUAGGUCCUUUUUCUAUUAAGGAGGAAUGGAUUAUCAAAGCCUUAACAUUAAAUUGUAUUGUGUCAGGUGAAUUGCUAUGGUUUGAAUGUGGUGUGUCCCCCUCCCAAACUCACAUUGAAUUUUUUUUUUUUUUUUUGAGACGGAGUCUCGCUCUGUUGCCCAGGCUGGAGUGCAGUGGUGCGAUCUUGGCUCACUACAAGCUCUGCCUCCCGGGUUCAAGAGAUUCUCCUGCCUCAGCCUCCCGAGUAGCUGGGAUUACAGAUGUUCGUCACCACACCUGGCUAAUUUUUGUAUUUUUAAUAGAGAUGGGGUUUCACUAUGUUGGCUAGGCUGGUCUCAAACUCCCGACAUCAGGUGAUCCACCCACCUCGGCCUCCCAAAGUGCUGGGAUUAGAGGAGUGAGCCACUGCACCCAGCCUCACGUUGAGGUUUAAUUGCCAUUGUAACAGUAUAAAGAUGUGGGACCUUUACGAGGUGAUUAGGCAAUGAGGACUCUGCCCUCAUGAAUGGAUUAAUGCUGUUAUCAUGGGAGUGGAUUCCUUAUAAAGGGACACGUUCAGCACCCCCUUGCUCUCUCUCUCACCUUCCGCCAUAUGAUGAUGGGGCACAAAGGCCAUCAUCAGAUGUUGGCCCCUUGUUCUCGAACUUCCCAACCUCCAGAGCAGUAAAAAAAUAAAUCACUGUUCUUUAC